UGACAAGAAAUAUACAGACCAUCAGAAAA
rnacentral:sRNA from 1 species